UGGGGAGUCUUCCGCAAUGGACGAAAGUCUGACGGAGCAACGCCGCGUGAGUGAAGAAGGUUUUCGGAUCGUAAAACUCUGUCUUUUGGGGCGAACGUGAGUAUGGUGAACAAUCAUAGUCAGUGACGGUACCAAAGGAGGAAGCCACGGCUAACUACGUGCCAGCAGCCGCGGUAAUACGUAGGUGGCAAGCGUUGUCCGGAAUUAUUGGGCGUAAAGAGCGCGUAGGCGGGAUAGUCAGUCUGUUGUAAAAGUGCGGGGCUCAACCCCGUGAUGGCAAUGGAAACAGCUAUUCUUGAGUGCAGGAGAGGAAAGUGGAAUUCCCAGUGUAGCGGUGAAAUGCGUAGAUAUUGGGAGGAACACCAGUGGCGAAGGCGACUUUCUGGACUGUGUCUGACGCUGAGGCGCGAAAGCCAGGGGAGCGAACGGGAUUAGAUACCCCGGUAGUCCUGGCCGUAAACGAUGGGUACUAGGUGUGGGAGGUAUCGACCCCUUCCGUGCCGGAGUUAACGCAAUAAGUACCCCGCCUGGGGAGUACGGUCGCAAGACUGAAACUCAAAGGAAUUGAC
rnacentral:rRNA from 1 species